rnacentral:rRNA from 1 species
GCAUAUCAAUAAGCGGAGGAAAAGAAACCAACUGGGAUUACCUUAGUAACGGCGAGUGAAGCGGUAAAAGCUCAAAUUUGAAAUCUGGUACUUUCAGUGCCCGAGUUGUAAUUUGUAGAAUUUGUCUUUGAUUAGGUCCUUGUCUAUGUUCCUUGGAACAGGACGUCAUAGAGGGUGAGAAUCCCGUUUGGCGAGGAUACCUUUUCUCUGUAAGACUUUUUCGAAGAGUCGAGUUGUUUGGGAAUGCAGCUCAAAGUGGGUGGUAAAUUCCAUCUAAAGCUAAAUAUUGGCGAGAGACCGAUAGCGAACAAGUACAGUGAUGGAAAGAUGAAAAGAACUUUGAAAAGAGAGUGAAAAAGUACGUGAAAUUGUUGAAAGGGAAGGGCAUUUGAUCAGACAUGGUGUUUUUUGCAUGCACUCGCCUCUCGUGGGCUUGGGCCUCUCAAAAAUUUCACUGGGCCAACAUCAAUUCUGGCAGCAGGAUAAAUCAUUAAGAAUGUAGCUACUUCGGUAGUGUUAUAGCUUUUUGGAAUACUGUUAGCCGGGAUUGAGGACUGCGCUUCGGCAAGGAUG